UACGUAGGUGGCAAGCGUUGUCCGGAUUUACUGGGCGUAAAGAGCGCGCAGGCGGUCGUUCAAGUCGCGUGUGAAAGCCCCCGGCUCAACUGGGGAGGGUCACGCGAUACUGAUCGACUCGAAGGCAGGAGAGGGUAGUGGAAUUCCCGGUGUAGUGGUGAAAUGCGUAGAUAUCAGGAGGAACACCCGUGGCGAAAGCGGCUCUCUGGGACGGUACUGACGCUGAGACGCGAAAGCGUGGGGAGCAAACAGG
rnacentral:rRNA from 1 species